rnacentral:rRNA from 1 species
UACGUAGGGGGCUAGCGUUGUCCGGAAUCAUUGGGCGUAAAGCGCGUGUAGGCGGCCCGAUAAGUCCGCUGUGAAAGUCGGGGGCUCAACCCUCGAAAGCCGGUGGAUACUGUCGGGCUCGAGUACGGAAGAGGCGAGUGGAAUUCCUGGUGUAGCGGUGAAAUGCGCAGAUAUCAGGAGGAACACCAAUUGCGAAGGCAGCUCGCUGGGACGUUACUGACGCUGAGACGCGAAAGCGUGGGGAGCAAACAGG